rnacentral:rRNA from 1 species
UACGUAGGGUGCGAGCGUUAAUCGGAAUUACUGGGCGUAAAGUGUGCGCAGGCGGUUGAGCAAGUCGAGUGUGAAAGCCCCGGGCUUAACUUGGGAAUUGCGCUCGAAACUACUUGACUGGAGUGUGGCAGAGGAAGGUGGAAUUCCACGUGUAGCGGUGAAAUGCGUAGAGAUGUGGAGGAACACCAAUGGCGAAGGCAGCCUUCUGGGCCAACACUGACGCUCAUGCACGAAAGCUAGGGGAGCAAACAGG